CCUUCUCUUUGUCCUUCCGCCAAGUGAUGUCCUCUAUUAUGUGAUGAUGCAGCGAUGCCCUAGACAGAUGCUUCCACCUUGACAUUGGAAUUCUCAGCCUCCAGAACCAUGAGACAAUCCAUUUCUAUCUGUUCUAAAGUUCCAGGUCUCUGGUCUUCUGUCACAGCAGUACGAAUGAUACUAUGCAUAUUCCUCCUUUUCAGUCCUCCAUGAGACUAAUUUAGCCACUCAUUUCUAACAGCUUUCAGGUUCUAAGGGAUGUGCUUGCUGCUAUGUUGGGGUUUUCCAGGAAACAAUCCUUGGAAAUGCUGCCAAACUACAGUCGCUUGGAGCUACAUUGUUAGGUGAAGAUUUGCCACAGUGAAAGUGCAUGCAUUCCUGUUCCAAACACCACCAAGUGCCAGUUUCCUGAAAGGAAUCUUCUAGGAAAACCUGUGUUUCCCCCGCUGACAUCCAGAGCCAAAUUUGACAAAAGCAGAUUCAACACUUUCAAAGCCUUUCAAAAAACAACCCAUAAAUUGGUAGCAGGCAUUGAAAAGGAAAAAUCCUCUGGAAGCAAACACUCUGUUUACUGCUGAGAAUCCAUGAAUCAUAAAGAACAAUAUAACCCAAGUGUUUUCCUCUGCCGUUUGAAGCUGCAGGAGCGACUCGGUGGCCGUGAAGUAAUGAAAUGCACUGAGACGGUACAAAAAUACAUUAUUCAGUUGCUUGCUAUAUAAUGUGAUUUAAAUUGUUUUUCAUUCCAUUAUCCUCGGCUCUUGGGCACUUAAGUUGAGGCAGAUUUAUGAGUAUUUCAUAAUUAACAAGUGUUCCUCUCUGACAAAGAAAGUAGCCUAAUUUGGGAGGAGGAUGGGGGUCUUUCUGCUCUCUCUCCCUGCUGAGUUUCUCCUUCAACACCUUUACUUCCCACCAGUCCAUGACUCCAUUAACUUUAAAAACAAAUUAGAAUCUAGCCUCUCUAACUGUUCUCGCUUCACUCAAAUCAAAAGCCACUUAAUUAGUUUGCUUCUAGGAUAUAUUACAGCAAUAACAGGAUCUAAUAUAAACAGUAUAUAAUGAUAGGGUCUAAGACUAUGUGGAUUCAACAAAUGAUUUUGAACCUGAAUUAUGGUCAAUGUUCAAAGGACAUUCUGGACAAAGUCUAUGACUGUAUCCAACUCUUGCAAGAUUGUCAUCUGUCUGUAAAGCCUUAAAGACUUAUUUUGCCAUAUUUGGUUAAUGAGGCUUUUGACAAAAGUAGAAAUUUGAUAGUUUAUUUUUCCAAGGUAGUCUUAGUGGAACUAUUUAUUUUCAACAAAUAUGAGGAGCUCUGGGAGGAAAGCGGCUUAUCUACUUUCUAACCUGCCUCCAACAUGCCUGGCACUGCUGAUGGAGACACGGGAGUGA